UCUGCUCAUGAAAACCAGCCCACCUGACCCUGCAGCUCUGCACAGGAGCCCAGCCCUGGACUCCCAGCUCAGCCCACUCAGGGAUCAGGACUGAACACAGCUGCUCACCAUGGAGAGUGUGCUCAGCUGGGUUUUCCUGGUGGCUGUUUUCAAAGGUGUCCAGUGUGAGGUGCAGCUGGUGGAGUCUGGGGGAGGCCUGGUGCAGCCUGGGGGUUCCCUGCGACUCUCCUCUGCAGCCUCUGGAUUCACCUUCAGUAGCUACUGGAUGAGCUGGGUCCACCAUGCUCCAGGGAAGGGGCUGGAGUAGGUUGGCCAAAUUAACCCAAGUGAUGGUAGCACCUACUACCCGGACUCUGUGAAGGGCCAAUUCACCAUCUCCAGAGACAACUCCAAGAACACCCUGUACCUGCAAAUGAGCAGUCUGAGAACUGAGGACACUGCCAUCUAUUACUGUGCCAGAGACACAGUGAGGGGACCUCAGUGUGA
rnacentral:lncRNA from 1 species